UUGAGAAUUGUUCAUAGAAGAAAAGUAAACCAGAAAACAGAAAACAAGAGCCAAGAAUGGGACUCUUCACCUACACCAUAGCCGGUGGCGGUUUCAUCUUGAUCGGUGCCUGGGAAUCGUUCGUAUCUUCCUCUGAAUGUAUCCAAAAUACGCCACUAUCUCCGCCCCUUACCAGCCCUCGCGCCAUUUCAGCUAUUAACAACAGCAGCACUCAAACGAAAAAGGCCCCUCUUUCUUCAUCAUCUGUAACAUGCUUAUCAAACCCCGUCCUUUCUUUCCUCUUCAUUCUAAACUCUCUCAUCUCCAUCUCCGACGCCCUCAACUCCAAAGACCACGUUGGUUUCGCCUUCCAGUUAGAGCUCAAAGAAUGAAGAGCAAAAGAGUGCAAAAUCAGUAUCACUGAGUUUCUCAAGCAUUCGUAAGGGUGGCAGAGGGGUGAUGGAAGGUUCUAAAGGUGCUCAAAACUAGAAGUAGCUUAGAAUCUGGUCAUCAUUUUGGCUGUAGAGACUAGAGAGAUGGACACAUCAAUUAUCAGCAUUACGAAGCCCGCUGGAAUCUGCUAUUAGGUGAUAUCAAAGUUGUUGAACCCUUGAUUCAAAGUUUAUUUGGGAUGGUAGCACUAGCGGCACGCUAAGUGCCAUUAUGUCUUUGAUUAGUCUGUGCUGUAUUUCAUUUUGCUUUCUUUGAUGGUACACUGUUCAUCUCAGCCUCACUUGGUAGGCAAGAGUAGAUCAGGAUACAGGUUUCUAAACUUGUGCCUUCUUGCAUAUAGCAUUGUGGGUUGCACGGCUGGACCUAUUGGCUAGAUAAGGAACAAAAUGUCUUUAUGUUUCA